rnacentral:rRNA from 1 species
UACAGAGGGUGCUAGCGUUGUUCGGAAUCAUUGGGCGUAAAGGGCGUGUAGGCGGUUUGUUAAGUCAUGUGUGAAAUCCCUCGGCUCAACCGAGGAAAGACGCAUGAAACUGGCAAGCUAGAGUACCGAAGAGGGGGGUGGAAUUCCCGGUGUAGCGGUGAAAUGCGUAGAUAUCAAGAGGAACACCAGUGGCGAAGGCGAGUCCCUGGACAACACCUGACACUGAGGCACGAAAGCUAGGGGAGCAAACAGG